UACGGAGGGAGCUAGCGUUGUUCGGAAUUACUGGGCGUAAAGCGCACGUAGGUGGUUAUAUAAGUCAGAGGUGAAAGCCUGGAGCUUAACUCCAGAAUUGCCUUUGAGACUGUAUAGCUAGAGUGUAGGAGAGGUAAGUGGAAUUCCUAGUGUAGAGGUGAAAUUCGUAGAUAUUAGGAAGAACACCAGUGGCGAAGGCGGCUUACUGGACUACUACUGACACUGAGGUGCGAAAGCGUGGGGAGCAAACAGG
rnacentral:rRNA from 1 species